rnacentral:rRNA from 1 species
AUUGAACGCUGGCGGCAGGCUUAACACAUGCAAGUCGAGCGGGGUGAUGGUGCUUGCACUAUCACUUAGCGGCGGACGGGUGAGUAAUGCUUAGGAAUCUGCCUAUUAGUGGGGGACAACAUCUCGAAAGGGAUGCUAAUACCGCAUACGUCCUACGGGAGAAAGCAGGGGAUCACUUGUGACCUUGCGCUAAUAGAUGAGCCUAAGUCGGAUUAGCUAGUUGGUGGGGUAAAGGCCUACCAAGGCGACGAUCUGUAGCGGGUCUGAGAGGAUGGUCCGCCCCACUGGGACUGGGACACGGCCCAGGCUCGUACGGGAGGCAGCAGUGGGGAAUAUUGGACAAUGGGGGGAACCCUGAGCCAGCCAUGCCGCGUGUGUGAAGAAGGCCUUAUGGUUGUAAAGCACUUUAAGCGAGGAGGAGGCUCUUUUGGUUAAUACCCAAGAUGAGUGGACGUUACUCGCAGAAUAAGCACCGGCUAACUCUGUGCCAGCAGCCGCCGUAA